CGGCGAGUGAAGCGGCAAAAGCUCAAAUUUGAAAUCUGGUACCUUCGGUGCCCGAGUUGUAAUUUGGAGAGGGCAACUUUGGGGCCGUUCCUUGUCUAUGUUCCUUGGAACAGGACGUCAUAGAGGGUGAGAAUCCCGUGUGGCGAGGAGUGCGGUUCUUUGUAAAGUGCCUUCGAAGAGUCGAGUUGUUUGGGAAUGCAGCUCUAAGUGGGUGGUAAAUUCCAUCUAAAGCUAAAUAUUGGCGAGAGACCGAUAGCGAACAAGUACAGUGAUGGAAAGAUGAAAAGAACUUUGAAAAGAGAGUGAAAAAGUACGUGAAAUUGUUGAAAGGGAAGGGCAUUUGAUCAGACAUGGUGUUUUGUGCCCUCUGCUCCUUGUGGGUGGGGGAAUCUCGCAUUUCACUGGGCCAGCAUCAGUUUUGGUGGCAGGAUAAAUCCAUAGGAAUGUAGCUUGCCUCGGUAAGUAUUAUAGCCUGUGGGAAUACUGCCAGCUGGGACUGAGGACUGCGACGUAAGUCAAGGAUGCUGGCAUAAUGGUUAUAUGCCGC
rnacentral:rRNA from 1 species